UGAGGAAUAUUGGUCAAUGGUCGCUAGACUGAACCAGCCAAGUAGCGUGCGGGAUGAAGGCCCUCCGGGUCGUAAACCGCUUUUAGACGGGGAUAAAAGGGCGUACGUGUACGCCGUAUUGCAUGUACCGUCAGAAAAAGGACCGGCUAAUUCCGUGCCAGCAGCCGCGGUAAUACGGAAGGUCCGGGCGUUAUCCGGAUUUAUUGGGUUUAAAGGGAGCGUAGGCGGGCUUUCAAGUCAGUGGUAAAAUCGUGUGGCUCAACCAUACCUCGCCAUUGAAACUGGAAGUCUGGAGUGCACACAGGGGUGCCGGAAUUCAUGGUGUAGCGGUGAAAUGCUUAGAUAUCAUGAAGAACUCCGAUCGCGAAGGCAAGUGCCCGGGGUGCAACUGACGCUGAGGCUCGAAGGUGCGGGUAUCGAACAGGAUUAGAUACC
rnacentral:rRNA from 1 species